rnacentral:rRNA from 1 species
UACGAAGGGGGCUAGCGUUGCUCGGAAUCACUGGGCGUAAAGCGCACGUAGGCGGAUUUGUAAGUCAGGGGUGAAAUCCCGGGGCUCAACCUCGGAACUGCCUUUGAUACUGCGAAUCUUGAGUCCGAUAGAGGUGGGUGGAAUUCCUAGUGUAGCGGUGAAAUGCGUAGAGAUUUGGAGGAACACCAGUGGCGAAGGCGGGUCUCUGGGCCGAUACUGACGCUGAGGAGCGAAAGCGUGGGGAGCGAACAGG